GGUUGGAUGAGUGGCGAACGGGUGAGUAACACGUGAGUAACCUGCCCUCUUCUUUGGGAUAACGCCCGGAAACGGGUGCUAAUACUGGAUAUUCACUGGCCUUCGCAUGGGGGUUGGUGGAAAGGUUUGUUCUGGUGGGGGAUGGGCUCGCGGCCUAUCAGCUUGUUGGUGGGGUGAUGGCCUACCAAGGCUUUGACGGGUAGCCGGCCUGAGAGGGUGACCGGUCACAUUGGGACUGAGAUACGGCCCAGACUCCUACGGGAGGCAGCAGUGGGGAAUAUUGCACAAUGGGCGCAAGCCUGAUGCAGCGACGCCGCGUGAGGGAUGGAGGCCUUCGGGUUGUAAACCUCUUUCGCUCAUGGUCAAGCCGCAACUGUGGGUUGUGGUGAGGGUAGUGGGUAAAGAAGCGCCGGCUAACUACGUGCCAGCAGCCGCGGUAAUACGUAGGGCGCGAGCGUUGUCCGGAAUUAUUGGGCGUAAAGGGCUUGUAGGCGGUUGGUCGCGUCUGCCGUGAAAUUCUCUGGCUUAACUGGGGGCGUGCGGUGGGUACGGGCUGACUUGAGUGCGGUAGGGGAGACUGGAACUCCUGGUGUAGCGGUGGAAUGCGCAGAUAUCAGGAAGAACACCGGUGGCGAAGGCGGGUCUCUGGGCCGUUA
rnacentral:rRNA from 1 species